AGCUAGUUGGUGAGGUAAUGGCUCACCAAGGCUACGAUCCGUAACUGGUCUGAGAGGAUGAUCCAGUCACACUGGAACUGAGACACGGUCCAGACUCCUACGGGAGGCAGCAGUGGGGAAUAUUGGACAAUGGGCGAAAGCCUGAUCCAGCCAUGCCGCGUGUGUGAAGAAGGUCUUCGGAUUGUAAAGCACUUUAAGUUGGGAGGAAGGGCAUAACCUAAUACGUUAGUGUUUGACGUACCGACAGAAAAGCCC
rnacentral:rRNA from 1 species